rnacentral:rRNA from 1 species
CAGGGAAUUUUGCACAAUGGGCGCAAGCCUGAUGCAGCGACGCCGCGUGGGGGAUGAAUGCCUUCGGGUUGUAAACCCCUUUCAGGAGGGACGAAGCGAAAGUGACGGUACCUCCAGAAGAAGCCCCGGCCAACUACGUGCCAGCAGCCGCGGUAAUACGUAGGGGGCGAGCGUUGUCCGGAUUUAUUGGGCGUAAAGAGCUCGUAGGCGGCUCAACAAGUCGGCCGUGAAAGCCUGAGGCUCAACCUCAGGACGCCGGUCGAAACUGUUGUGGCUAGGGUUCGGUAGAGGAGAGUGGAAUUCCCGGUGUAGCGGUGAAAUGCGCAGAUAUCGGGAGGAACACCAGUAGCGAAGGCGGCUCUCUGGGCCGACACCGACGCUGAGGAGCGAAAGCUAGGGGAGCAAACAGGAUUAGAUACCCUGGUAGUCCUAGCUGUAAACGUUGGGCACUAGGUGUGGCGGAUUCAUUGACAUCUGCCGUGCCGAAGCUAACGCAUUAAGUGCCCCGCCUGGGGAGUACGGUCGCAAGGCUA